CUUAGCUCUACGAAGGUGACCUGCGGAGGGAUCAUU
rnacentral:rRNA from 1 species